rnacentral:rRNA from 1 species
CAGUAGCCGCGGGAAUACAGAACAUGCAAGUGUUAUCCGGAAUGAUUGGGCGUAAAGCGUCUGUAGGUGGCUUUUCAAGUCCGCCGUCAAAUCCCAGGGCUCAACCCUGGACAGGCGGUGGAAACUACCAAGCUGGAGUAAGGUAGGGGCAGAGGGAAUUUCUGGUGGAGCGGUGGAAUGCGUUGAGAUCAUAAAGAACACCAACGGCGAAAGCACUCUGCUGGGCCGACACUGACACUAAGAGACGAAAGCUAGGGGAGCAAAUGGGAUUAGAUACCCCAGUAGUCCCUGUCUCUUAUAA